rnacentral:rRNA from 1 species
GACGAACGCUGGCGGCGUGCUUAACACAUGCAAGUCGAACGGUGAAGCGCCUUCCUUUUUGGUGGGUGUGGAUGAGUGGCGAACGGGUGAGUAACACGUGAGUAACCUGCCCCCUUCUUCUGGAUAACCGCAUGAAAGUGUGGCUAAUACGGGAUAUUCUGGGUCUGUCGCAUGAUGGGUCUGGGAAAGAUAUUGUUUCGGUGGGGGAUGGGCUCGCGGCCUAUCAGCUUGUUGGUGGGGUGAUGGCCUACCAAGGCGGUGACGGGUAGCCGGCCUGAGAGGGUGGACGGUCACACUGGGACUGAGACACGGCCCAGACUCCUACGGGAGGCAGCAGUGGGGAAUAUUGCACAAUGGGCGCAAGCCUGAUGCAGCGACGCCGCGUGAGGGAUGGAGGCCUUCGGGUUGUGAACCUCUUUCGCCACUGAAGCAGGCCUGCCUCGUUUGUGGGUGGGUUGACGGUAGCUGGAUAAGAAGCGCCGGCUAACUACGUG